GAAAGCAGACUAGACUAUUUUGGGCACGGCAUGCUGUAACGAAUGGAAAAAGAGAAAUCAGAGACAGGCAGUUUUCCUCUGCCAUCUGAACGGUAAUAUGGAUGUGUCAUGCUGAAAUGAAGAGCGUGAGUUAGACGGAGGGGAACUGCUCUUGCUGCUGCAUCAAAAUUGAAGGAGGAGGAGGCUGUGGGUGUAGAGAAAUCAGUUACAGGAGAAAAUGCUCCGGCGUGGUCAGCUUGGCUUGGUGCUCUCCUAUUGGAUAGAAACAGUUUUACAAAACAUCCUGGGACCAUGAUGAAUCAAGACAAAAGCAAGACCUUCUGCAACCAUAUCUAAACAGAGGCAAAAUGUGAACACGUCCAACCUAUGAAAAUGAUCAAACAUUCCCCUCUCCUGGCUGAUAUGAAUAACUGAAGCGAGACCUGUUAAGUAAUCUUCAAACUCCUCACAAAUCCAAACCCCAAUCACCCCUCCCAGGGAGGAAGCAAAGUGUCUGAAGUCCUUCCUUUGAAAAAAAAUGUGAGCUUGUGUCUUUGGAAAAUAUGACAUCUUUCCAGGAUCACGAGUGAUUUUUAAUAAAAUUUACACUUGAAGAAUGGAAUUUUUCUCUAAGCCAAGAAAGGAGGCAAACCUAAGAGGAAAGCAUUUCACUCCACCAACACAUGGAUCUAAGCUCUGUGAGAGCAGGACUUUGUCUCAUUCAUCUCUGCCUCUCUGGCACUGACAGCAGUGUCCAGCAUAAUGCAGACUCAACCAAUAGUUGUUGAAUGAAUAAAUGAAUGUUUA
rnacentral:lncRNA from 1 species